rnacentral:rRNA from 1 species
CAUAUCAAUAAGCGGAGGAAAAGAAACUAACAAGGAUUCCCCUAGUAACUGCGAGUGAAGCGGGAAAAGCUCAAAUUUAAAAUCUGGCGGUCUCUGACUGUCCGAGUUGUAAUCUAGAGAAGCGUUAUCCGCGCUGGACCGUGUACAAGUCUCCUGGAAUGGAGCGUCAUAGAGGGUGAGAAUCCCGUCUUUGACACGGACUGCCAGGGCUUUGUGAUGCGCUCUCAAAGAGUCGAGUUGUUUGGGAAUGCAGCUCAAAAUGGGUGGUAAAUUCCAUCUAAAGCUAAAUAUUGGCGAGAGACCGAUAGCGAACAAGUACCGUGAGGGAAAGAUGAAAAGAACUUUGGAAAGAGAGUUAAACAGUACGUGAAAUUGCUGAAAGGGAAACGCUUGAAGUCAGUCGCGUUGGCCAGGGAUCAACCUUGCUUUUGCUUGGUGUACUUUCUGGUUGACGGGUCAGCAUCAAUUUUGACUAUUGGAAAAAGGUCAAGGGAAUGUGGCAUCUUCGGAUGUGUUAUAGCCCUUGGUUGCAUACAAUGGUUGGGAUUGAGGAACUCAGCACGCCGCAAGGCCGGGUUUUAACCACGUACGUGCUUAGGAUGCUGGCAAAAUGGCUUUAAUCGACCCGUCUUGAAACACGGACCAAGGAGUCUAACAUGCCUGCGAGUGUUUGGGUGGAAAACCCGAGCGCGUAAUGAAAGUGAAAGUUGAGAUCCCUGUCGUGGGGAGCAUCGACGCCCGGACCAGACCUUUUGUGACGGUUCCGCGGUAGAGCAUGUAUGUUGGGACCCGAAAGAUGGUGAACUAUGCCUGAAUAGGGUGAAGCCAGAGGAAACUCUGGUGGAGGCUCGUAGCGAUUCUGACGUGCAAAUCGAUCGUCAAAUUUGGGUAUAGGGGCGAAAGACUAAUCGAACCAUCUAGUAGCUG